UCCUUUCUUUAAAGAAAAUCAUUUAUAAUAUUAAUAAAAAUAUUUUUAAAAAUCCGGGUUAUUACAAUCUACCCUCCUUAUAGGGAUUCCGUCCUCGGAAUCAAAGAAAGAAGGAGGACGAAAAAUCUGUAAAAUCCAUAUUAAUCCAAAUAACAGAAAUAAUUACAUUCACACUUUUCACAUAAUCAUAUCACUAUUCCAUUAAAGCCAACAAUAAUAUCAACAUAUUAGAUCUAUAAUAAUCAUAAACUAAUUUUAAAACAUGGGAUAUUACAUUCUACCCCCCUUAUAAGGAUUCCGUCCUCGGAAUCCUCCGAAGAAACUAAAACGUAUCAUCAUACAUCUUUGAUCGAUCUUGGCAUACCUUUGACUUUAAUGAAAAAGGAAAAUCAAACUUUUAUAAUUGCAAAAUUCAUUCCCCAAGAAUCGAUCUUUGGGAAUUUUCGAAUAGAACAAGGUGUUUUCAAACUAGGUUACAUUGGAAUACAAGAGUGACUGGGAGAUCAAUACGAUCAAAUGAACUUAAUGUUGCGUGUCCACAUUAGACACUACUAAAGGUUUUUAACCUUCUUGUAAUCACAACACACACAAGUGAUGGCGUCCCAUCCAACUCCUAUCACACAGACAGGUAUACCUUGUGUCCCCUAUACAUAGGGUUGUUCAUCCCAAUCAGAUGGAAAGAAUCCAAGAAAUCUCAAGGAGCAUCAAGAAUAUUAGGGAUUAUCGAGGGAUAUAUUAGGGAACAUCGAAAAGAUAUCAAGGAAUGUCAAAGAGUGUCAAAGAAUGUCAACGAAUAUCAACGAAUAUUAAGGGACAUCAAAGAAUAUGGAAGAAUAUCAAGGAAUAUCAAAGAAUAUCAAAUAAUAUCAAGGAAUUCCACUGUCUCUUCACAACAAACCUUUAUCACACAUCUUUGCUUUCCAACUCAUACCAAUAAUCAAUAUCAAUGUCAUCUUAGAAUUUGAGAAAUUGAAUAUCUCAUUUAUCAAAACUUUUGUAGAAAAGAUAUCAUGAUAAUAUCUCACUGAUAAGAAAACAAUCAAAGGAAUCUUUAGUUGAAGAGAGGUAUUGCCAAGGUCUUCUCAGAUUCCGACUCUACUUCGAUAAAUCAUUAUACAAUAUAUGUCUUCUUUUCAACGUUCUCGAUAAUCAAUCGAUUUGACUCGUAAUAGCCUCGUAAGAUGUCAUCGUAGACGUUAUCGUCCGUAACAACUCUGGCCCAUGUAGUUUACAUUCUUCUACUUUAUCCCAAUUGCCUUUGAAAUCCAUAGCACAACACGUAACGUAUCUUCGAUUGUCUGGAUCAUCAACCUGUGGGUUAUGGGCCCACCUUUGAUGCCAUUUGAAAUCCCGAUUAGCUCGAAGCGUUGUCGUCGAGGACUAACGUUCUAACUUACUCGCAGACAUUACCUCUAAUAGCUGGACUCAACUCCACAUACUCUCUAUCAUUCACUUCUCACCUAUCCACCUCUAUCUAUAAAUCUCUCCUUCUGAUUCAGUACAACUCAUAUCAUACACUAACUCUUCAUAUCUCACAAAACAAUAUACUUUUCCAAAUAUCCAACAUGGUCAACA
rnacentral:lncRNA from 1 species